CGACUCAAAAGAGCACCACACCAUUGGAUGGACCGCGGUUAGAUGUCCGAUGCAAAGAAACCUGCAUAAUCACCCCCACGCAGCACCUUUUGCACUGACGUCAGCCACGCCCACUCAAGAAGGUCCCCCGGUUCAAGUCCCGUCUCACCCAGGGCCUUUCUCUGUGGAGUUUGCAUGUUCUCCCUGUGUUCGCGUGGGUUUCCUCCGGGUGCUAUGGUUUCCCCCAUAGUCCAAAAAGCAUGCAGCCCUGUGAUGGACUGGCCACCUGUCCAGGGUGUUUUCCUGCCUUCGGCCUGAGACAGCUGGGAUAGGCUCCAGCACUAUCAGUGACCCUACAUAGGACAAGCG